CUUUUUUGUGUACAUAUGCUAACUUUUGAAUUUUUUGUUAUUAUUUCGUUCAUAUUUAGGUUUUCUUUUUGGAUUAUAGUCGAGAUCGAAAUAAAAAAACCGACAAUAAUGAAUCGAAAGAAAUCUCCUGCCAUAACAGUAACGAUUGUUUCUGAUCAUAUGAGUGCACACGACAUGAGUGCAAGGCUCUCUGUAAGAGAGGGUGAGCUAAACAAUGCAAGAGACGUAAAGUAAAAUCCGUGGUUGAGCUUUUUUAGUGAUGUUUUAUCGAUCGACUCAACAUAAACAAAUAUUAUUUUCAGUGGGCAGUGUGAUUUGAAAGCAAGGAUUUUAAUUUUGAGAGGUAUGAUUCUUUGAGUCAAUUUUACUUCUCUAUAUGUAGCCUUACAAGUGAUGUGUUAUGUGUUUCGUAAUGUUCUUGCAAUGAGUUCAAGUCAAUUUUUCCA